AUGGUUCAAGUGAGCAAUGGCCCUUAUCUAAUAGAGGGAAUCCACAACAUAGAAAGCAUCACAGGAGAGUUAAGGUGGUAUACAGAGGAAUGCAUAUUCUUGUCAGUCGAGCAACCAAAUCAAAGGGAACUUAUCUUUGCAUUAAUUAUUCCAUCAACCAUGAAUAAAAACAAAAGCAUAAUGAAGAGUCACUCGGAAGCAAAGUUAGUUUUCAUGCACAAAUUGAGAAGCCACCAAACAAUAUAUGAACAUAAAAGUUUAUUUCACUAUUGGUUUAGCAGCAAAUACCCUAAGCAUAGUGCAUAUGACAGCAUGCAGGAACUUAAGAAAGUGAUCAAAUUAUCUCUCUAG
rnacentral:rRNA from 1 species